rnacentral:tRNA from 1 species
GAGGGUAUAGCUCAGUGGUAGAGCACAUGCUUAGCAUACACGAGGUCCUGGGUUCAAUCCCCAGUACUGCCA